GGGAAACCGGCGCGGACGUUCCCGCCGCCAACCCGGUCAGGUUCGGAAGAAAGCAGCCGUAACGGUCUUCGGAACGGGUCGUCGUCCGGUUUCCUUUA
rnacentral:SRP_RNA from 1 species